UACGUAGAAGACUAGUGUUAUUCAUCUUUAAUAGGUUUAAAGGGUACCUAGACGGUAAAUCAAGUCCAAAAAGGAUACUAAUUUGCUAGAGUUUAAUGUGAGGGGGCACUAAAGUACUGAUAAGUGUAGAGAUGAAAUUCUGUGAUACAAUAUAAGGACAGGUAAAGGCGAAAGCAUCUCAUUAUGUAAUAACUGACGUUGAGGGACGAAGGCUAGGAGAAGCAAAAAGG
rnacentral:rRNA from 1 species